rnacentral:rRNA from 1 species
GAUGAACGCUGGCGGCGUGCUUAACACAUGCAAGUCGAACGAUGAAGCCCAGCUUGCUGGGUGGAUUAGUGGCGAACGGGUGAGUAACACGUGAGUAACCUGCCCUUAACUCUGGGAUAAGCCUGGGAAACUGGGUCUAAUACCGGAUAGGAGCGUCCACCGCAUGGUGGGUGUUGGAAAGAUUUAUCGGUUUUGGAUGGACUCGCGGCCUAUCAGCUUGUUGGUGAGGUAAUGGCUCGCCAAGGCGACGACGGGUAGCCGGCCUGAGAGGGUGACCGGCGCCACUGUGACUGAGAGACGGCGCAGAGACUUAUGGGGGACAGAGGUGGGGAAAAUUGUGCACUGGGGGCGAGAGCGAGACAGAGACGCGGCGUGUGGGAUGACGGGGUUUUGGUGUUGAAAACCUCUCGGUAGAGAAGAAGCGAGAGUGACGGUAUCUGUAGAAGAGGAACAGGCUAACUACGUG